UAAAAGUAGAGGUUGCAUUGUUAAAUAGUAAUAUACAGGAUGUGCCGGGACACAUAAGAAUGUAUAGGAAAGGUAAUGAUGCCGAAGCAGUAUAUAUCCGGACAUAUACUGCUGGGCGUAAGUUCAACAGGCUUACGACUGUCAUCACACGAUGGAGGGCUACUUAA
rnacentral:ncRNA from 1 species